rnacentral:rRNA from 2 species
UAAUGCAGUCGAGCGGACAGAUGGGAGCUUGCUCCCUGAUGUUAGCGGCGGACGGGUGAGUAACACGUGGGUAACCUGCCUGUAAGACUGGGAUAACUCCGGGAAACCGGGGCUAAUACCGGAUGGUUGUUUGAACCGCAUGGUUCAAACAUAAAAGGUGGCUUCGGCUACCACUUACAGAUGGACCCGCGGCGCAUUAGCUAGUUGGUGAGGUAACGGCUCACCAAGGCAACGAUGCGUAGCCGACCUGAGAGGGUGAUCGGCCACACUGGGACUGAGACACGGCCCAGACUCCUACGGGAGGCAGCAGUAGGGAAUCUUCCGCAAUGGACGAAAGUCUGACGGAGCAACGCCGCGUGAGUGAUGAAGGUUUUCGGAUCGUAAAGCUCUGUUGUUAGGGAAGAACAAGUACCGUUCGAAUAGGGCGGUACCUUGACGGUACCUAACCAGAAAGCCACGGCUAACUACGUGCCAGCAGCCGCGGUAAUACGUAGGUGGCAAGCGUUGUCCGGAAUUAUUGGGCGUAAAGGGCUCGCAGGCGGUUUCUUAAGUCUGAUGUGAAAGCCCCCGGCUCAACCGGGGAGGGUCAUUGGAAACUGGGGAACUUGAGUGCAGAAGAGGAGAGUGGAAUUCCACGUGUAGCGGUGAAAUGCGUAGAGAUGUGGAGGAACACCAGUGGCGAAGGCGACUCUCUGGUCUGUAACUGACGCUGAGGAGCGAAAGCGUGGGGAGCGAACAGGAUUAGAUACCCUGGUAGUCCACGCCGUAAACGAUGAGUGCUAAG